UAGGAAGCGGCUGUAGAAGUGAUAAGUUGUAGCCUUAUUUAUGGGGAUAAAGUUCCUCCUUUCU
rnacentral:tRNA from 1 species